rnacentral:rRNA from 1 species
UACGUAGGGGGCAAGCGUUAUCCGGAUUUACUGGGUGUAAAGGGAGCGUAGACGGCCAUGCAAGUCUGAAGUGAAAGCUCGGGGCUCAGCCCCGGAACUGCUUUGGAAACUGUAAGGCUGGAGUGCAGGGGAGGUAAGCGGAAUUCCUAGUGUAGCGGUGAAAUGCGUACAUAUUAGGAGGAACACCAGAGGCGAAGGCGGCUUACUGGACUGUAACUGACGUCGGGGCUCGAAGGCGUGGGGAGCAAAC